rnacentral:tRNA from 1 species
GGGCCCGUAGCUCAGCUGGUCAGAGCAUGCGACUCAUAAUCGCCAGGUCCCGGGUUCGAGCCCCGGCGGGCCCA